rnacentral:rRNA from 1 species
UACAGAGGGGGCAAGCGUUGUUCGGAAUUACUGGGCGUAAAGGGCGCGUAGGCGGCCUGCUAAGUCGAACGUGAAAUCCCUGGGCUCAACCCAGGAACUGCGUCCGAUACUGGUUGGCUUGAAUCCGGGAGAGGGAUGUGGAAUUCCAGGUGUAGCGGUGAAAUGCGUAGAUAUCUGGAGGAACACCGGUGGCGAAGGCGACAUCUUGGACCGGUAUUGACGCUGAGGCGCGAAAGCCAGGGGAGCAAACGGG